AUUGAACGCUGGCGGCAGGCCUAACACAUGCAAGUCGAGCGAGCGGCGGACGGGUGAGUAAUGUCUGGGAAACUGCCUGAUGGAGGGGGAUAACUACUGGAAACGGUAGCUACUACCGCAUACCAUCGGAUGUGCCCACAUGGGAUUAGCUUGUAGGUGAGGUAACGGCUCACCUAGGCGACGAUCCCUAGCUGGUCUGAGAGGAUGACCAGCCACACUGGAACUGAGACACGGUCCAGACUCCUACGGUAGGCAGCAGUGAGGAAUAUUGCACAAUGGGCGCAAGUCUGAUGCAGCCAUGCCGCGUGUAUGAAGAAGGCCGUCGGGUUGUAAAGUACUUUCAGCGGAGAGGCGUUACCCGCAGAAGAAGCACCGGCUAACUCCGUGCCAGCAGCCGCGGUAAUUC
rnacentral:rRNA from 1 species